ACGGAAGGCAGCAGUGGGGAAUAUUGCACAAUGGGGGAAACCCUGAUGCAGCGACGCCGCGUGAGUGAAGAAGUUAUUCGUAAUGUAAAGCUCUAUCAGCAGGGAAGAAAAUGACGGUACCUGACUAAGAAGCCCCGGCUAACUACGUGCCAGCAGCCGCGGUAAUACGUAGGGGGCAAGCGUUAUCCGGAUUUACUGGGUGUAAAGGGAGCGUAGACGGUCUGGCAAGUCUGAUGUGAAAGGCAGGGGCUCAACUCCUGGACUGCAUUGGAAACUGUCAGUCUUGAGUGUUGGAGAGGUAAGCGGAAUUCCUAGUGUAGCGGUGAAAUGCGUAGAUAUUAGGAGGAACACCAGUGGCGAAGGCGGCUUACUGGACGAUAACUGACGUUGAGGCUCGAAAGCGUGGGGAGCAAACAGGAUUAGAUACCCUGGUA
rnacentral:rRNA from 1 species